AAUGAACGCUGGCGGCAUGCCUUACACAUGCAAGUCGAACGGCAGCAUGUCCUAGCUUGCUAGGUUGAUGGCGAGUGGCGAACGGGUGAGUAAUGCAUCGGAACGUGCCUUUUAGUGGGGGAUAACGUAGCGAAAGUUACGCUAAUACCGCAUAUUCUCUGAGGAGGAAAGCAGGGGGCCUUCGGGCCUUGCGCUAGAAGAGCGGCCGAUGUCGGAUUAGCUAGUUGGUGAGGUAAAGGCUCACCAAGGCAACGAUCCGUAGCGGGUCUGAGAGGAUGAUCCGCCACACUGGGACUGAGACACGGCCCAGACUCCUACGGGAGGCAGCAGUGGGGAAUUUUGGACAAUGGGCGCAAGCCUGAUCCAGCCAUGCCGCGUGAGUGAAGAAGGCCUUCGGGUUGUAAAGCUCUUUCGGCUGGGAAGAAAUCGCACUCUCUAAUACAGGGUGUGGAUGACGGUACCAGCAUAAGAAGCACCGGCUAACUACGUG
rnacentral:rRNA from 1 species